UCAAGUGAAGAAGCGCAUACGGUGGAUGCCUUGGCAGUCAGAGGCGAUGAAAGACGUGGUAGCCUGCGAAAAGCUUCGGGGAGUCGGCAAACAGACUUUGAUCCGGAGAUCUCUGAAUGGGGGAACCCACCUAGGAUAACCUAGGUAUCUUGUACUGAAUCCAUAGGUGCAAGAGGCGAACCAGGGGAACUGAAACAUCUAAGUACCCUGAGGAAAAGAAAUCAACCGAGAUUCCCUUAGUAGUGGCGAGCGAACGGGGAUUAGCCCUUAAGCUUCAUUGAUUUUAGCGGAACGCUCUGGAAAGUGCGGCCAUAGUGGGUGAUAGCCCCGUACGCGAAAGGAUCUUUGAAGUGAAAUCGAGUAGGACGGAGCACGAGAAACUUUGUCUGAACAUGGGGGGACCAUCCUCCAAGGCUAAAUACUACUGACUGACCGAUAGUGAACCAGUACCGUGAGGGAAAGGCGAAAAGAACCCCGGAGAGGGGAGUGAAAUAGAACCUGAAACCGUAUGCGUACAAGCAGUGGGAGCCUACUUGUUAGGUGACUGCGUACCUUUUGUAUAAUGGGUCAGCGACUUAUAUUCAGUGGCAAGCUUAACCGUAUAGGGUAGGCGUAGCGAAAGCGAGUCUUAAUAGGGCGUUUAGUCGCUGGGUAUAGACCCGAAACCGGGCGAUCUAUCCAUGAGCAGGUUGAAGGUUAGGUAACACUGACUGGAGGACCGAACCCACUCCCGUUGAAAAGGUAGGGGAUGACUUGUGGAUCGGAGUGAAAGGCUAAUCAAGCUCGGAGAUAGCUGGUUCUCCUCGAAAGCUAUUUAGGUAGCGCCUCAUGUAUCACUCUGGGGGGUAGAGCACUGUUUCGGCUAGGGGGUCAUCCCGACUUACCAAACCGAUGCAAACUCCGAAUACCCAGAAGUGCCGAGCAUGGGAGACACACGGCGGGUGCUAACGUCCGUCGUGAAAAGGGAAACAACCCAGACCGCCAGCUAAGGUCCCAAAGUUGUGGUUAAGUGGUAAACGAUGUGGGAAGGCUUAGACAGCUAGGAGGUUGGCUUAGAAGCAGCCAUCCUUUAAAGAAAGCGUAAUAGCUCACUAGUCGAGUCGGCCUGCGCGGAAGAUGUAACGGGGCUCAAACCACACACCGAAGCUGCGGGUGUCACGUAAGUGACGCGGUAGAGGAGCGUUCUGUAAGCCUGUGAAGGUGAGUUGAGAAGCUUGCUGGAGGUAUCAGAAGUGCGAAUGCUGACAUGAGUAACGACAAUGGGUGUGAAAAACACCCACGCCGAAAGACCAAGGGUUCCUGCGCAACGUUAAUCGACGCAGGGUUAGUCGGUUCCUAAGGCGAGGCUGAAAAGCGUAGUCGAUGGGAAACAGGUUAAUAUUCCUGUACUUCUGGUUACUGCGAUGGAGGGACGGAGAAGGCUAGGCCAGCUUGGCGUUGGUUGUCCAAGUUUAAGGUGGUAGGCUGAAAUCUUAGGUAAAUCCGGGGUUUCAAGGCCGAGAGCUGAUGACGAGUCGUCUUUUAGAUGACGAAGUGGUUGAUGCCAUGCUUCCAAGAAAAGCUUCUAAGCUUCAGGUAACCAGGAACCGUACCCCAAACCGACACAGGUGGUCGGGUAGAGAAUACCAAGGCGCUUGAGAGAACUCGGGUGAAGGAACUAGGCAAAAUGGCACCGUAACUUCGGGAGAAGGUGCGCCGGCUAGGGUGAAGGAUUUACUCCGUAAGCUCUGGCUGGUCGAAGAUACCAGGCCGCUGCGACUGUUUAUUAAAAACACAGCACUCUGCAAACACGAAAGUGGACGUAUAGGGUGUGACGCCUGCCCGGUGCCGGAAGGUUAAUUGAUGGGGUUAGCGCAAGCGAAGCUCUUGAUCGAAGCCCCGGUAAACGGCGGCCGUAACUAUAACGGUCCUAAGGUAGCGAAAUUCCUUGUCGGGUAAGUUCCGACCUGCACGAAUGGCGUAACGAUGGCGGCGCUGUCUCCACCCGAGACUCAGUGAAAUUGAAAUCGCUGUGAAGAUGCAGUGUAUCCGCGGCUAGACGGAAAGACCCCGUGAACCUUUACUGUAGCUUUGCACUGGACUUUGAGCCUGCUUGUGUAGGAUAGGUGGGAGGCUUUGAAGCGUGGACGCCAGUUCGCGUGGAGCCAUCCUUGAAAUACCACCCUGGCAUGCUUGAGGUUCUAACUCUGGUCCGUAAUCCGGAUCGAGGACAGUGUAUGGUGGGCAGUUUGACUGGGGCGGUCUCCUCCUAAAGAGUAACGGAGGAGUACGAAGGUGCGCUCAGACCGGUCGGAAAUCGGUCGCAGAGUAUAAAGGCAAAAGCGCGCUUGACUGCGAGACAGACACGUCGAGCAGGUACGAAAGUAGGUCUUAGUGAUCCGGUGGUUCUGUAUGGAAGGGCCAUCGCUCAACGGAUAAAAGGUACUCCGGGGAUAACAGGCUGAUACCGCCCAAGAGUUCAUAUCGACGGCGGUGUUUGGCACCUCGAUGUCGGCUCAUCACAUCCUGGGGCUGAAGCCGGUCCCAAGGGUAUGGCUGUUCGCCAUUUAAAGUGGUACGCGAGCUGGGUUUAGAACGUCGUGAGACAGUUCGGUCCCUAUCUGCCGUGGACGUUUGAGAUUUGAGAGGGGCUGCUCCUAGUACGAGAGGACCGGAGUGGACGAACCUCUGGUGUUCCGGUUGUCACGCCAGUGGCAUUGCCGGGUAGCUAUGUUCGGAAAAGAUAACCGCUGAAAGCAUCUAAGCGGGAAACUUGCCUCAAGAUGAGAUCUCACUGGGAACUUGAUUCCCCUGAAGGGCCGUCGAAGACUACGACGUUGAUAGGCUGGGUGUGUAAGCGUUGUGAGGCGUUGAGCUAACCAGUACUAAUUGCCCGUGAGGCUUGACCAU
rnacentral:rRNA from 20 species